AAACCAGAUAUAAAAUUUCAGAAUGAUACAUUGAAAGAAAAGAAGACGACACGUCGAAUCUGACUUAGAAAACAAUGAAGUUAACACAUAAAAUCCACAACUAACAAAGCACAAAAUUUUCCAGAAUGAUAAACCACGGUACACUGAAAUAUUCGAAAAAGAAUGAAGAAGCUGAGAACGAACAUGUACAACUUGUAACCGCAACAUAUACACCAUAUUCACAACUCAACGAAGAACAAAACGCUUUCAGCGAACAAAAAAAACCUGUGAAUAAAUACAGAAAAAGAACUUCAUUAAGUGCUUCCUUAACCUUCAACACUGACUUCAGCUUGCACGAUGACUGGAUUCAUUUCAGACUUGGGGCACAAUCGGGUUGAAUUUCCAUUUCUUCUGUUUUUUCUGUACAUUUUUUCUCAUCUGAACCCUUUGCUUCAGCAAGUUUUGAUUUUCUUUCAACAGGUUUCACUUUA